AGGUUGUUUAGUUUUCAACAGGAGGAAGUUUGUGGCUCUUUGAAGGGAGAAGAAAUAUCUCCAAAGGCUUUGGAGUCUGAGGUCUAUGUCUGCAAGAGCAAGUCCCGACUGAUGAAACAUGAAACAACUACAGAAGCUGUCCGAAAGGAAAAAGGAGAAAGAAGAGCACAACUAAGGCUGAGGUGUGAGAAACUGUGGUUUGGGCACUGCUAAAGGACCCUGAAAUGCUGUGAAGUUCUGAGGAAAAAUUGAACAAACUCUCUGGAAUCCUAUAUUUAUCUGAGGAUGGUAUGCCCAGCGCUUUUCCCAGCGGCCAGGCUGUGUUUAUGAAUCCAAAGCUUUUAGACAGCUGAAGGACCAAGUUAAGCCGACCUGUCUGGGAUUCAUAUCUGAAAGGAGCUUUUCGGGAUUUCUUCUACUAAAUUACUUUGACCUUCUCCCAGUGCCCCUCGAAUAGCAGAUUUAAUUUGCACUAGAGCUCUGCUGGGCAAGAGUGUGAUGUGGAGAGAGUGAAUCCAUACCUUCUCCAACUUGCGGAGGCCAGACCCUUCUCGUAGGGCUGCUUUGCCCCACCGCCUUCCCCGGCUGGAGCUCUCCCUGAAACAGGUCGUGCUGCCUCUCAGAGAACGAUUCUCAGCCCUGGUGGCUCCCUAUGGAUUGGUCUUGAUGUAUUUUGAGCUCACUUCAUUUUUGAGACUAGUAAUUGCAGCUAGGAAAGAGAGAAGAUGUCUUAGACUCCCGCUUCAUUGAUCUUCUUUGUAAAAAUGCCCAGGUACGAUCUGAAAAAAAAUAGGAGAGGCCAGAGUUGUUUAAAACUAUGUAUUUCAUUUUCCCUGUUUGCAGUACAACAAACUAAAUGUUAAAAUUUUUGCAGCAAUAUGUGGCAACAGUAUUGAAACCAGCAGCAAAGCUGAAAUGGUUCAUCUGGUUUUGGUGAAUAUGGCUCCCGAUUAAUUUCUAAUUUACAAUUUUAUGAAGAAUUGGAAGAAAAAAUUCAGUUUUCUGAGCUCUAAAGGCGAGAAAAUUUUUAGAAUGAGAUUUGACUAUUUUAUAGCUACUGCAUUUAUAUAUUCUGAUAUAUUUAUGGUGAUACUUAUGUCAAAGCAAAUCUCUUUCAUAUUAAAAAAAUCUUAAUUUGCACAAGUAAUUGAGGUGGAAUAUUCUUAAUAUAAAC